AUUGAACGCUGGCGGCAGGCCUAACACAUGCAAGUCGAACGAGUGGCGGACGGGUGAGUAAUUUCUGGGAAACUGCCUGAUGGAGGGGGAUAACUACUGGAAACGGUAGCUAAUACCGCAUACCAUCAGAUGUGCCCAGAUGGGAUUAGCUUGUUGGUGUGGUAACGGCUCACCAAGGCGACGAUCCCUAGCUGGUCUGAGAGGAUGACCAGCCACACUGGAACUGAGACACGGUCCAGACUCCUACGGGAGGCAGCAGUGGGGAAUAUUGCACAAUGGGCGAAAGCCUGAUGGAGCAAUGCCGCGGGAAUGAAGAAGGCCUUCGGAUUGUAAAGUACUGUCAGCAGGGAGGCGUUACCCGAAGAAGAAGCACCGGCUAACUCCGUGCCAGCAGCCGCGGUAAUUC
rnacentral:rRNA from 1 species